UGCUUGGUUGAGUCUACUCCCUUGGCCCUCCUCCCAUGCUGUCGCCUGCAUGUAGUGCUGGGUUUACCUCUUCUGGGACCUGUGAGUACAGUAAAUCUCUUUCACUUUCAUGUGCCUCUCUAUGGUGUUAUUCUGUGUCUGUACGAGGCUGAUCAACCAAAAAAACCAUUUUAAGUAAUAGAGGUAUUCCUUACAACACACAAACACUAAAAUAAAUAUAUAGAUCUAGAUUUACACCAUACCAAAAAUGAUGAAACUGCUGUAGCACAAGCACUGACUACUCUCUAUAAACUCCAAGGCAGGACAACUCAGCCUCUGUUCCCACACACCUGUCCUAUCAUUUCCCAUGUUUGCCAGGGGCCCUUACAGCUGGUGGCAGGGAAGCUUGGAGCAUCUUGCAAGCCACAGCACAUGGGCCGUGGCACAGCUGGCUGGUUUCCCAAGGAGCCAGCAGGAACAGAAUUGGUGAAGACCUGAAAGAGUUAGAUGACCCUCAAACCUGGCUUUACCUGUCCCUAGAGGCUUCAUCUACUUACAUUGCCUUCUGAGCAGACGUUUGAGUUUGUAACCCCUGAUUCUAAAAUGUUUUUGCCAUUCAGCCUUGUUAAGAUGGUCUCAAAUACCUCUACUACGCAUCUACUUACUUUCUCAAGGACUUCUGACAGAAGCAAACUGCUGCUCCCUUUCCUGCAGUCGAAGUAGAAAGUACAGGUGAUAAAUGGCAGCACAGGAACUUGGACCUCGAUUUAUCUGAUAUCAAGGCCCAUGUUCUGUCCAAGACUCCAUGCUGCCCCUCUUGUACCUAAGCACUGCUGCCUCCCUGAAUCACUGACCACUAAAAAGGCAGAAUAGAAUAGGAAAGAUGUUCUAAUAUCCAGACACCUGGAUUCUCAGCCUGGUUCCAGAACUUACAAGCUUUGUAAGCCUAAGGCUCAACACAUACCAUGUCAUCAACAACCCACUCCUCUCAAAGUGAGAAUGAUUACAAUAAGGGCCAGUGGCCCAAGGUAGGGGAGUGUAAGCCAUAAUGAUGUUUGGUCUCUGGUCUUCCCCUGGUUUAAGGAACGUAAGUAUAAAAAAGCACUGUUAUGAAUUGAACUGUGCCCACCCCCACUUCCCCCAUUCAUAUGUUGAAGUUCUAAUUCCCAGGACCACAGAAUGCAACAGAAUUGGAAAUAGGGUCUUUGCAGACGCAAUUAGUUAAGAUGAAAUUAUACUGCAGUAGAGUGGGCCCCUAAUCGAAUAUGACUGGUGUCCUUAUUAAAAGAUUUCAUGCUUAUGAAAACAUCUGGGCACAGAGAGAACGCAUGUGAGGAUGAAGAGAAAAAGUGGGGUGAUGCUUCUACAAUGUCACAGAUUGCCAGCAAACCACCAGAAGUAGAGAGAGACACAGAACAGAAUCUUCCUCACAGCUCUCAGCAGGGACCAAUUUUAACUACACCUUGAUCUCAGACCUUGAGCUUCCAGAACUGCAAGACAAUCAAUUUCUGUUUUGUAAGCCAUUCAGUUCAUGGUGCUUUGUUACAGGAGUUGUAGAAAACGAAUACUAGAUGGGCUCUAGGGGAGUAUCUCUAGAACAUUUCAUGCUGCUCGUCUUUGUAAACCAUUACAGGAUGUAUUGGUCAGCCUUUGCAGCAAUAAUGGUGCAUUACUAAGUACCUCGAAGCUUAGUAGCUUAAAUUCCAAACACUUAUUUUUCACUUGUGGGUCUGUGGUUGUGGAGCUGCUCGAUGCUGCUGGGGUGUGCUAGACUUGAGAGCAUGUGGGAAAGAUCCAGGUCUCUCUGUCUUCUCGUUUUGGGGACAAGACUGAAGGAGCAGCCACUGUUGUUUGCAGGUGGACAGUACGAGUUCAGAAGGUUGAGUCAAAACAUGCAAGUGGAUAUACUGAGUAUGUCCACUCACAUGCCAUUGGCCAAAGCAAGUCCUAAGACCAAGCCCAAAGUCAGCUGAGGAGGGGUGGGGCUAGUGGCUAGUGGAGUCAGCAAAGUACUCUACCUAGACAAGUAUGAACAAAUAAUUACUAACAAAUAAUACAGUCUACUGCACAGUCCCUAAGGCCUAGAAGAAGUGUGUUUGUUUGUUUUAUAAGAUAUAUAUAUAUAGACAUAUUUGUAUUAAUUAAAAUCUGCAGAAGUUCUCUAAACCAUCACUUUGUUCGAUUUUCCUGAAAUGCCCUCCCGACCUCUGUCUCCCCUUUUCUCCUUUCUUUCAAGACCUGCAUUGCCUGGCAUGGAGCUUUGCAUACAUCAAGCAGUCAAUAAAUGCUUGUUAAAUUUAUGGUUGAAUUUAACCUUUUCUUCCUGAUGUGACUUGUAAAAAAGUAGCCUUUCAAAGAACAGGCAUUCAAAAAAAAAUGACUGAAUUGAAUUGAGGACAGGAAAAAGAACAGCUCUUUGAAUAUAGCUGUUGAUGGAGACCCAGACAACCUUGUCUGAUUCAAGGAUUACAAACCAGAAAACCAGAAUGCCAUCCUACUGCAAUUUUCUAAUGUCUUUAAGAGCCAAUAACUUAGCCCCAAUUAAUUAAAAUCUGUCUUUUUUAUUUG